CAGGCCAGUACCCUCAACACCACAAAGUCCACCACAAUCUCCUCUAUAAUGUUGUGGUGGUGGUGGUGGUGGUGGUGCAGGCCAGUACCCUCAACACCACAAAGUCCACCACAAUCUCCUCUAUAAUGUUGUGGUGGAGGUGGUGGUGGUGGUGGUGGUGCAGGCCAGUACCCUCAACACCACAAAGUCCACCACAAUUUCCUCUAUAAUGUUGUGGAGGUGGUGGUGGUGGUGGUGCAGGCCAGUACCCUCAACACCACAAAGUCCACCACAAUCUCCUCUAUAAUGUUGUGGUGGUGGUGGUGGUGGUGGUGGUGCAGGCCAGUACCCUCAACACCACAAAGU